GACGAACGCUGGCGGGAGGCUUAACACAUGCAAGUCGAACGGUAGGGUCCUUCCUGGUGGGGGUGCGCGGGGUGCGGACGGGUAACUAGCGUGUAACUUACCUGCCCUUGACGUUGGGCUUACCUCAGGAAAGUGGAAUACAUCCCGGAUUAGUACUCGUCAUGGAGGGUUGGGGUAGACAAGGUUGGGCGGAUGGGGAUGGGCUCGCGGUUAAUCAGCUGGUGGGGGAGGGAGUGGCUUAGGAGGGCUUUGAUGGGUGGCCGGCCUGAGAGGGUGACCGGCCACAUUGGGACUGAGAUACGGCCCGGACUCCUACGGGAGGCAGCAGUGGGGAAUAAUGCACGAUGGGCGGAAGCCUGAUGCAGCAACGCCGCCUGAGGGAUUACGGCCUUCGGGUUGUAAACCGCUUUCGCCUGUGACUAAGCGUGAGUGACGGUAAUGGGUAAAGAAGCACCGGCUAACUACGUG
rnacentral:rRNA from 1 species